rnacentral:rRNA from 1 species
UACAGAGGUCUCAAGCGUUGUUCGGAUUCAUUGGGCGUAAAGGGUGCGUAGGUGGCGAGGUAAGUUGGAUGUGAAAUCCUGGGGCUCAACCCUAGAACUGCAUUCAAUACUGCCUUGCUAGAGUACUGGAGAGGAGAUUGGAAUUUACGGUGUAGCGGUGAAAUGCGUAGAUAUCGUAAGGAAGACCAGUGGCGAAGGCGGGUCUCUAGACAGUUCCUGACGGCUGAGCACGAAGGUCAGGGGAGCAAACGGG